AGAACGAACGCUGGCGGCAGGCCUAACACAUGCAAGUCGAGCGCCCCGCAAGGGGGAGCGGCAGACGGGAAAGUAACACGUGGGAACGUACCCUUCAGUUCGGAACAACCCAGGGAAACUUGGGCUAAUACCGAAUACGUCCGUAAGGAGAAAGAUUUAUCGCUGAAGGAUCGGCCCGCGUCUGAUUAGCUAGUUGGUGAGGUAACGGCUCACCAAGGCUACGAUCAGUAGCUGGUCUGAGAGGAUGAUCAGCCUCACUGGGACUGAGACACGGCCCAGACUCCUACGGGAGGCAGCAGUGGGGAAUAUUGGACAAUGGGCGCAAGCCUGAUCCAGCCAUGCCGCGUGGAUGAUGAAGGCCUUAGGGUUGUAAGUCCUUUCGACGGGGAAGAUAAUGACGGUACCCGUAGAAGAAGCCCCGGCUAACUUCGUGCCAGCAGCCGC
rnacentral:rRNA from 1 species